rnacentral:rRNA from 1 species
CCUACGGGGUGCAGCAGUGGGGAAUAUUGGACAAUGGGCGAAAGCCUGAUCCAGCCAUGCCGCGUGUGUGAAGAAGGCCUUCGGGUUGUAAAGCACUUUCAGUGGGGAAGAAAGCCUUGGGGCUAAUACCCUCGAGGAAGGACAUCACCCACAGAAGAAGCACCGGCUAACUCCGUGCCAGCAGCCGCGGUAAUACGGAGGGUGCGAGCGUUAAUCGGAAUUACUGGGCGUAAAGCGCGCGUAGGCGGUCUGAUAAGCCGGUUGUGAAAUCCCCGGGCUCAACCUGGGAACGGCAUCCGGAACUGUCAGGCUAGAGUGCAGGAGAGGAAGGUAGAAUUCCCGGUGUAGCGGUGAAAUGCGUAGAGAUCGGGAGGAAUACCAGUGGCGAAGGCGGUCUUCUGGACUGACACUGACGCUGAGGUGCGAAAGCGUGGGUAGCAAACAGGAUUAGAUACCCUUGUAGUC